CCUGUUACGCGCUCACCGAUAACGUUUGACAUAUUAAUUUUAUCCCACGUACGUCGCUUUUCAUUCUGCUAUAAUUUAUGUGCAUCCGUAAUUAUUUCCCACUUCGCGUCUCUACACAACAAUUAAUUACAUUCAUCAAUUUUCACAACAUAUUCAUCAUUAUACGUCCCCAGGUCCGCUUCAUCCUUUGUUAGAUUUCCGUCUGCUUCGAUGACAGCCUCGAAUAUACACACAUGUCAAUAUAUAGAUCAACCGCGAAUUGAUCUUGAAAGCUCGGCGUCAAUGAAAACGCGAAAGAAUCUAGACGGGAAACCUCCAUAAAAACUCCGAACGUUAUCGAUCGUCCCCCAUCGAAAUACCGGAGCCAAUGAGAAACGUCAAAAAAUUCCCUAGGCCGAAAAAUCCAGUUUCCCGCCAAUCAGAAUCCGUCCUCCAACAAUUCCACCUUCUCUCUACGUCUCUUCGACAGUUCGUGGCUCACAAAGAAGAAUCGACCCCCUCCACCACCUGGACUGUCACGGCGUCGAUCGCCGAGGUGAAUCCGGGUGACAGUUCCAGAAGAAGAGGAUUUGUGCGCCCGCGGCCUCCUGGUGGACCGUCAACGAGGACCCUCUCCGAGGCAAGCAAGGAAGAAAGAGAGAGAAAAGAAGAAGAUCCCGAUACGCGACGACGACGUGUGCACGCAUGCACGAUGACGGGGUGAGGGAGUGAAGGGAUGAGAGGAGCGGCGACGGCGGCGUCGCGGGUCAACGUGAGCCGCCGCGAUAGUGACACCUCUUGACGUUUCUCCGGCGCCCAGCCAAUCGGCGAUGCCGAUCCCCCUCGGCCGCUCACGUCACUCGCCGCGACGGCCCGAUCGCCGAUCGGCGCCCCUCGUCAUCGCCAUCCCCGCGGAUGAUCCUGAUCCUCGGCGGCGGCGAGCGUUCUCGCGUGCGGAGCGGUCUCCCGGAUCGUUCCUGAGGGCACCGCACAGCAGUACGCACAUGAGAUGGGUAGCAGCGCUUGGUGGCAGUGUGCCGCGUGUCUGAGAACCCAGGAAGAGGACAUUUGCGAGCUGCAAUUAAACCACUGUAAUCUCUAUGAUGUACCACCCGAUGUGUUCAUUUAUGAAAGAACAUUGGAAAAGUUGUAUCUCGAUGCCAAUAGAAUAAAAGAUCUUCCCAGACCGUUGUUCCAGUGCCACGAGUUGAGAGUUCUCUCACUUAGCGAUAAUGAGAUUACUACGUUACCACCCGCCAUAGCGUCAUUAAUCAACUUAGAACACCUGGACCUCAGUAAAAACAGUAUAAAGGACUUACCAGACAGUAUCAAAGAAUGCAAGAGUCUUCGCUCCAUAGAUAUCAGUGUCAACCCCUUCGACCGUUUCCCGGACGCUAUAACGCAUAUCGUUGGUUUGCGCGAGCUCUACUUAAACGACGCGUAUAUAGAAUACCUGCCGGCUAACUUUGGACGACUGUCAGCCUUGAGGACGCUCGAGUUGCGGGAGAACAACAUGAUGACGUUGCCUAAGAGUAUGAGCCGUCUUGUCAACUUGCAGAGGCUCGAUAUCGGCAACAAUGACUUCACAGAGCUGCCUGAGGUCGUCGGGGAUCUCAUAAAUCUGACGGAGCUGUGGAUUGACGGCAACGACAUCAGGCGUGUCCCGGCGAACGUCGAGCAGCUCUACCGCUUGAAUCACUUCGACUGCACGAUGAACGCCCUGCACGGCCUCCCGAUGGAGGUGCGCGGCUGGCGCGACAUCGCGAUCAUGAAUCUGUCGUCGAACGAGAUGUACGAGCUGCCCGACACGAUGUGCUACCUGCGCACGAUCGUCACCCUGAAGAUCGACGACAAUCAAUUGAACGCACUGCCGAACGACAUCGGCCAGAUGUCGAGCUUAGAGGAGCUUAUAAUUACUAAGAACUUUCUCGAGUACUUGCCGUCUUCGAUAGGCUUGCUGCGCAAGCUGCACUGUCUCAACGCGGACAAUAAUUAUCUGCGCGCGUUGCCGGCCGAGAUCGGUAGCUGCACGGCGUUGUCCCUGCUAUCCCUGCGUUCGAACAAUCUGACUCGAGUGCCGCCCGAGCUCGGCCAUCUGUCCUCGUUGAGGGUGCUCAAUCUCGUCAACAACUGCAUCAAGUUUCUACCGGUCUCCAUGCUCAACCUGAGCAAUCUGAAGGCGCUGUGGCUGAGCGACAAUCAGAGUCAGCCGUUGGUGCCGCUGCAGCAGGAGUUCAACUGCGAGGAGGACAUGAUGGUGCUGAGCUGCUUCAUGCUGCCCCAGAAACCGCGGCAGGAUCUGGAGCAAAUGGCGCAGACCGCAGGACCGAUUUCGAGUUCAAUCAUCGGAACCGGCAAGAGGAUAUGUUUCGCUGCUGAGGUAGAUUCCGAAGUCCCCAGGCAACUUCAUCGAGCACCAACCCCUUACCCCAAGGAGCUACGCAACCUUGCUAGGCACGCUCGUAAUCUGCAUCAUCAGUCCAUUCACGAUCAAAGAAGCACGCCUUCAUCUACAACCUCUACCGAUCGUAACACGGCGAAGAACUACAACAAGAGCAACAGACCGGUGGAACCCGGAGCGACGGAGCAUUCGGUGUCGGAGGAAUCGUCUGACGAAGCGAACAAGACGGUGCUGGCGAAAGAGAAGAGUCCGGAUAUCCGGGAGGCCAAGUACAUCCGCAAUCCCACGUCCGAUUACGUCGCGAAAACGCCAACGGUAUCCGACUACGUCAACUCCACGUGGAAACCAGACGAGUACUCCAAGGCGAACACGGCUAAGAUAGUCGAGUCCGACAAGUUUAUCGAGCCAUACAGGACGGCGAUGUCGGGCGACGCGACGGACGGCAAGUUCAGCGAGCAACAGACGGCGCGGGUGAACGUCGUCCCAAAACCCUGCGACGUUCCACCAGCUCCGCCGCCGUAUCACAUCGCGGCAGCCUUCUCCAAGAAGGCCGCUCUCUUCCAGCAAUUUAAUAAUCCGAUCGAGGCGGACCCGCAUUUGGCCCCACUUUCGUUAUCUUUUAACUCGUCGCCAAAUUCGCCCGGGGUGUUUCCGGACGUCUCGAAACAGAAGAACUUGGACGCGAACUCGGUGAAGGCCGAGGAAUGUGUGGCACCGGCUGAUCCGGCGAGCCUCGUCGAUUCUAGCUCGACGAACAACGGACGGACGGAUCCUCUCGAUCGAACUUGCACGCCGAAUCUGGAUUCCGGCGGCGAUUCCGAGCAGAACGACCGCGCCUUGAAACCGAGCAAGAUCCCGGUUCUCAAGAGCAAGCACGCGGAAAAUUCGAGUAACGAGGCGAACUCGAUCAAGGCUCUCCCGGAGGAACACGACGGGACGAAUAGGACCUUGAAUACGGUUUACUCUAGCAUACCCACGUCGCCGAUCACGGGGAAGAAAUAUCGGAGCCCCUUAUCAGUGCUCGAUCGCUCGAGGAAGCUGCAGAACGGGAACGUCGCCAACCACAAUUCGUGCGACAACGUCAACUCGUCGGCCGAGUUGACGUCGAACGUUGUCAGUCCCGUUCAAACGAGCAGAAGCGUCGCCGACGAAUCCGGCGUCGCGUCUCCCGCUAAGAGCGACUCCUCGGGCCGAGAGACGCCGAGCAAUACGGGUAGUAAAUCUCAGGGCGACGCGAGCAACGUCGAGAUCUUUAAGGAACACGAGAGUUCUGCGUCGAGUGAGACGUCCGGGUCGGAGAGGAAGCCCAAGUUCAAUUGGAUGUUUGGUCUUCACAAAAACGCGAAUGUGCUGCCUGUUCAAGUAAGGAAAAAUCCAGGUCUCGGCUUCAGCAUAGCUGGUGGGAUAGCGGGUGCAGAGACAGGAAUAAUCGUGACGAAGGUGAAUCCCGACGGGCCAGCUCAGGGUACUCUUCGACCAGGAGACAAGAUUCUGGAGGUAGACGGUAUCGAUUUCACCAAAUCCGAUCACAAUAACGCCGUCGCCGUUCUGCGUGCCACCGGUGCUGUUGUUUCUAUGAUGAUAAGUCGCCAUCAAUGAUUCCGUAUUUUCCUUCUAAACAUCCUGUCGUGAAAGAAAUGGUUGUAAGAAUACUCCGCCGAAUUUCCAAGCACAUCCAAGACUCCAAGAAUAAAUCCUCCCUCGUCCUCCUCGUCACGAGCCGAUCAGCAGAUGCAUCGGAUUUUCCACGUAGUGCUUCCACAAGUUGGAGAACCUCGCCACGGUGACGCCGUCGAGGACGCGAUGAUCCGCGGCCCAGCUGAUCGACAUGACGUAAGCCGGAAUGACGUUUCCCGCGUCGUUGAAUCGCGGGACCUUCUGCGCUCUUCCGAAAGCACCGAUUAUUACCUGGGGCGGCAGGAUCACUGGUUUCGUGAACCUGUACAUGGAAAAACGAAAGAUUCCACAUUGACAGAAGGAUUCAUCAGUCAUUAUCUGAGCUUACCACGCCUAUGUUCGACAACGAGAACGUCGUGUCUGUCAAAUCACCGAGGGGAAUCGCCGACUUCCUGCCGAGUUCCUGGAGCCUGUUGAGCUCCCGCGCGAUUGCGAGGAUGCUGAGAUUCUGCACGUUCUUGAUGUUGGGCACCACCAGGCCCUCCGGGGUGUCCAUGGCGAUGCCGAUGUUGUGGCUGUCCAGGAUUCGCAACGUCUGCUCCUCCUCGUUCAGCCAAGCGUUCAGCUCGGGACAGCGCUCCAACGCUCGCGAGGCAGCCUUCACGAAGAAGGGCAUCAGGCUUAGGGAGACACCCUCGUCCUUCAACGAGUCCUUCACCUCGUUUCGAUAUUGUAUCACCCGAUCCACUUGGCACUCGUCGCUGUAGACGAAGUGCGGUAUACUCUGCAAGAAGUUCAUGAAGUAUAUCUCGAUGGGGGAUCCCUUACCAGGGAUCUAGUCAUAGUCUUCCACAUGUGUUUCGAGUAUCCCUUCAAGCCGACGAUCCUCCCCAUCACAUUCGGAGAAACUUCCGCUUGGACUUCCGCAGUCGCGGAAAUCUUCCGCAGAUGAGCCAGCACGUCUUCCUUGAGCACUCUACCAUCUUUGCCGGUCGCCGUUACGUCCUUCAGCCUCACGUUGUUCUCCAUGGCGAUUCUCCUCACUGCUGGGGUCACCAAUAUCUUCCCUGCGAGAUUGUCCUGCAAUUCUGACUCUUCUUCAUUCUUCUUCUUCUUCUUGUUGGAACCGUCAAUCACCUGGUCCCGGUCACCUUGAAUUUUCUCCGAACUUUUCGCGACGUCCUUCGAGUCGUCCUCUAUCUCGAUGUCCAGCAACGCCGCCCCGACCAUGGCGACGUCGUCCACGUUGUAGUGCAACACCUUGACGAGGCCGUCGUAGGGACUUGUGAUCUCCACCGACGCCUUGUCGCUUUGCACCUCGCAGAUCUUGUCGAACUGGCUCACCUGGUCACCCGGCUUCACGAACCUGAAAUAAUUCCGCUUGCUAUAUUAAAUAACAUCUUUGUGCAGGAUUUGCCCAAUUUAGAAGGAUUAAUUUAAUUAUUAAAAUGUAUGCGCGUCGCCAUCCGAACAAAUGCCGAGAGGAACAAAGGAGCGGGAUGCUGUCGGAGCGUACCAUUCUUUCACCGUGACGUCCCGAAUCCCUUCGCCGAUGUCUGACAGUUGAAAGGGUACCACUUUGCCGGGACGGAGCAUGCUGGUGGACAAGAAGCGACAUAUCGAACCGCGCGAUCUCUCAGCCUGCGCAGACAGAAAAGUUUCGUCGAGUUGCUUUGCGAGUACAAUGAUAACAACAAUUUUAUUGAGCGAUGGGCGACGACGCUACGAGUAAGAUACGCGUAUAUGACAUUUAGCAAUGUAUUUAAAAGGAAGUCCAUAGAAUUUUGCGGAAUUGUGGCAAAUGUGGGUAACUUGAAUCGGGAGUUGCGCGAUAAGGUGAAAAGUAUUAAAGUAAAAUAAUAUAUGAAAGAAUGAAAAAUAUAACAUACAAA